AGCGGCGGACGGGUGAGUAAAGCAUAGGAAUCUGGCCAAUAGAGGGGGAUAGCCCGGAGAAAUCCGGAUUAAUACCGCAUGCACUCUAAGGAGUAAAGCAGGGGACCCUAUGGCCUUGCACUAUUGGAUGAGCCUAUGUCGGAUUAGUUAGUUGGUGGGGUAAAGGCCUACCAAGGCAGCGAUCCGUAGCUGGUCUUAGAGGAUGAUCAGCCACGUCGGGACUGAGACACGGCCCGAACUCCUACGGGAGGCAGCAGUGGGGAAUAUUGCACAAUGGGCGCAAGCCUGAUGCAGCUAUGCCGCGUGUGUGAAGAAGGCCUUAGGGUUGUAAAGCACUUUCAGUAGUGAGGAAAGGUGUAUAGUUAAUAGCAUUACACUGUGACGUUAGCUACAGAAGAAGCACCGGCAAACUCCGUGCCAGCAGCCGCGGUAAUACGGAGGGUGCGAGCGUUAAUCGGAAUUACUGGGCGUAAAGCGCGUAGGCGGUUAUUUAAGUGAGGUGUGAAAUCCCUGGGCUCAACCUAGGAACUGCAUUUCAAACUGGAUAA
rnacentral:rRNA from 1 species